AUUGAACGCUGGCGGCAGGCCUAACACAUGCAAGUCGAACGAGUGGCGGACGGGUGAGUAAUGUCUGGGAAACUGCCUGAUGGAGGGGGCUAACUACUGGAAACGGUAGCUAAUACCGCAUACCAUCAGAUGUGCCCAGAUUGGAUUAGCUAGUUGGUGGGGGAACGGCUCACCAAGGCGACGAUGCCUAGCUGGUCUGAGAGGAUGACCGGCCACACUGGAACUGAGACACGGGCCAGACUCCUACGGGAGGCAGCAGUGGGGAAUAUUGCACAAUGGGCGCAAGCCUGAUGCAGCCAUGCCGCGUGUAUGAAGAAGGUCUUCGGGUUGUAAAGUACUGUCAGUGGGGAGGCGGUACCCGCAGAAGAAGCACCGGCUAACUCCGUGCCAGCAGCCGCGGUAAUAC
rnacentral:rRNA from 1 species